UAUAUACUCCCUCCGUCCCAAAAAAUUUGUCUUACAUUUGUCUAGAUACAGAUAUACCUAAUAUUAAAACGUGACUUGAUACAUCUGUAUCUAAACAAAUCGAAGACAUGAAUUUUGAGACGGAGGGAGUAUUUC
rfam:Triticum aestivum genome assembly, contig: Triticum_aestivum_CS42_TGACv1_scaffold_320705_4BL